rnacentral:rRNA from 1 species
UACGAAGGGGGCUAGCGUUGCUCGGAAUGACUGGGCGUAAAGGGCGCGUAGGCGGAUUAUGUAGUCAGGCGUGAAAUUCCCGGGCUUAACCUGGGGGCUGCGUUUGAUACGCAUAGUCUAGAGUGCGGAAGAGGGUCGUGGAAUUCCCAGUGUAGAGGUGAAAUUCGUAGAUAUUAGGAAGAACACCAGUGGCGAAGGCGGCUCACUGGCUCGGUACUGACGCUGAGGCGCGAAAGCGUGGGGAGCAAACAGG